rnacentral:rRNA from 1 species
CCCUUAGAUGUCCUGGGCCGCACGCGCGUUACACUGAUGCAUUCAACGAGCUUAUAACCUUGGCCGAGAGGCCUGGGCAAUCUUGUUAACGUGCAUUGUGAUAGGGAUAGAUUAUUGAAAUUAUUAAUCUUGAACGAGGAAUUCCUAGUAAACGCAGAUCAUCAAUCUGCAUUGAUUACGUCCCUGCCCUUUGUACACACCGCCCGUCGCACCUACCGAUUGGAUGGUCCGGUGAAGCCUCGGGAUUGUGGUUCUUGCCGCUUUAUUGUGGCGUGACCGCGAGAACUUGUCUAAACCUUAUCAUCUAGAGGAAGGUGAAGUCGUAACA